rnacentral:rRNA from 1 species
AAACAUGUCUUUUUGAAUUUUAUUUAAAGUCUAACCUGCCCACUGAAUAUUUUGAAUGGCCGCAGUAAUUUGACUGUGCAAAGGUAGCAUAAUAAUUAGUCUUUUAAUUGAAGGCUUGAAUGAAUGGUUGGACGAAGUAUAAACUGUUUCAUAUAAAUUUAUUUUAGAAUUUUAUAUUUUAGUAAAAAAGCUAAAAUUUUAUUAAAAGACGAGAAGACCCUAUAAAUCUUUAUAUUUUUAUAUUAUUUAAAUAUUUUAAAUUUAUUAAAUUUUUAUAAUAUAAAAUAUUUUAUUGGGGUGAUAGUAAAAUUUAAUUAACUUUUAAUUUUAAAAAUCAUUAAUUUAUGAAUUAUUGAUCCAUUAAUAUUGAUUAUAAGAUUAAGUUACUUUAGGGAUAACAGCGUAAUUUUUUUUGAGAGUUCAUAUCGAUAAAAAAGUUUGCGACCUCGAUGUUGGAUUAAGAUAUAUUUUUGGGUGUAGCUGUUCAAAUAAUAAGUCUGUUCGACUUUUAAAUUCUUACAUGAUC